rnacentral:rRNA from 1 species
CUGGCUCAGGACGAACGCUGGCGGCGUGCCUAAUACAUGCAAGUCGAGCGGAGUUUAUCGGGAGCUUGCUCCUGAUAAACUUAGCGGCGGACGGGUGAGUAACACGUAGGCAACCUGCCCGUAAGACUGGGAUAACUACCGGAAACGGUAGCUA